rnacentral:misc_RNA from 1 species
AAAGUCAAAUAGUACGUGAAAUUGUUGAAAGGGAAACGAUUGAAGUCAGUCAUACCGACGGGUAAUCAGCCUUUUGGGUGCGAUUAUGUGGUACAUGAAAAGAUUUUGUGAAUUGCAUAUUUGUGUCUUUUGGGUGUAUUUGCUCGUAUGGUAGGUUAACAUCAAUUUUGGUCGUCAUAAAAUGGCGGGAGGAAUGUAGCUUCCCCGGAAGUGUUAUAGCCUCUGGUAGAUGUGAUGAUCGGGAUUGAGGAUUGCAACGAAUACCUAUUGGGCUACCCGCCUGAUCUCUGGUCGUCGCUUUGGUACUGAAAGCGUGCUUAUGGUUUCAAAGUUAGGUGGCCAAAAGGUUAGAACGGGUUAAAUUCGUUAAGGAUGUUGACGUAAUGACUUUAAACGA